CAGGUCAAAAUCUCAUAUCACUGCAGUUUAAUGUAUAUUCACAGACAUUGUACACACCCACCUCUGCAGUCACACAUAAAUAUACCUAAUUCAAAUUGCUCUGUUGGAAAAUUCUUGGGUCUGCAAGCAUGUGUGCCUCCUGGAUCACCUUGCUUUCUUGUUCAGAGAGACCCAGGUGAAUCUUCAGGAGAUAGUAUGCCCACCAUCACUGAUCUCUGGUCCCAGCUUAGAAGGCACCCCCUCUCUUUUUCCUCUUUUUUUUUUUUAAUUCCUUGUUUCUGUUUUUCCUCUUCUCUAUCCUUCUCUUCUUCUGGUUCUCCUUCUACAAUUGUGUGUGCUAGAUUAACAAAGUCACAAAUGACAAGAUCACUUCAUAACAACAAUUCCAACUACAUUCUAUUGUUAGCUCCUCUCG
rnacentral:lncRNA from 1 species